rnacentral:rRNA from 1 species
UACGGAGGGUGCAAGCGUUAUCCGGAUUCACUGGGUUUAAAGGGUGCGUGGGUGGGCAGGUAAGUCCGUGGUGAAAUCCCCGAGCUUAACUCGGGAACUGCCAUGGAUACUAUUUGUCUUGAAUAUUGUGGAGGUAAGCGGAAUAUGUCAUGUAGCGGUGAAAUGCUUAGAUAUGACAUAGAACACCAAUUGCGAAGGCAGCUUACUACACAGUUAUUGACGCUGAGGCACGAAAGCGUGGGGAUCAAACAGG